UUCCAAGGUUGGAGUGAAUGGGCCAUGGGCUUGCUUAAAGCGGGUCUAGGCCCUGGAAAGUCCCCGGGCCGCUUUCCACAGAGAUGUGGGCUCGGCAACGAGUGUACUUGAUGCUCAGGAAAUUCAGUUUCUCACUUGUGGGAAACGGGCUGAGACAUGUGUGGAGCCUUAAUUUCCUGCAGAAGUAUUAAUUGGCCGAUAAUCACAGUUAUUCACUUGGCUUCUACUGAAGCUAACUGAACGGGGCUUACAACUUUGGA
rfam:Beta vulgaris subsp. vulgaris chromosome 7, whole genome shotgun sequence.